rnacentral:lncRNA from 10 species
CUGCUGCCCUAGGGGCUGGCGUGGGAGGCCAUGCCAUGCUUUCUACAUUCUUGCCCCUCAUCAAGCCUCGGGCCCUCGGGUCCUGUGCUCUUGCUUUAGCUUCAGCACAAUCGUAGGCAGCCCCAAAUGACUUGUCAAAUGGAGAGAACCAUGCCUGAGUCAUAGCUGUGAAGGUCAGUGCAUGAAAAUGCCCUCAAACCUUCAAAAUGCCACACGAACAAGAGGUCUAGGCAGGGAGACUGGCAAGGAGAAAGAGCACUGGACUUGGAGAAAGGGACCAGAGUUUAAGUCCUGGCCCACUUCAUAGCUGUGUGGAUUUUUUCAGGUUACUUCCGCUCUCUGAGACUUGGUCUCCUCCUCUGUCAAAUGUGAAUGUGAUAGAACCUGCCUGGUAGGGUUGUAGUGAGGAGUAAACAGGAGCAGAGCAUAAACUUAAGGGGAAUUUAAGGCCUUCUCAAAUACCACCUCUCCUGGGAAGAUUUCUGUGACCUUCCCAAGAGAGUUCACUGCUCCUUCCUCUGAGCUCAGAGGCAUUUAUACAGUCACUGGAGCAGUGCUUAUCAUUCCACAUGGAUGCAGGCUGAGCUCCCUAGAAACAGACUCUGAUGCAAAAAAAGUAUGUUGCUGGGAGGCUCCAGGAGAUACAGCUGUAGGGAAGUGAGCAAGGGAAGAAUGGGGAGAGGGAGAAGCUGACAUGCAAGGGAGAAGCUGACAUAGAAAGAGAAGCUAACACACAAGGGAGAAGCUGGAACAGAGGGAGAAGCUGACACAUAAUGGAGAAGCUGGCACAGAGGGAGAAGCAUACACACAAGGGAGAAGCUGACAUAGAGGGAGAAAGUGACACAGAGGGAC